rnacentral:rRNA from 1 species
UACAGAGGUCCCAAGCGUUGUUCGGAUUCACUGGGCGUAAAGGGUGCGUAGGUGGUGAGGUAAUUCGGAUGUGAAAGCUCGGAGCUCAACUCCGAAAUGGCAUUGGGAACUACCUUGCUCGAGGGUUGGAGGGGGGACUGGAAUGCUUGGUGUAGCAGUGAAAUGCGUAGAUAUCAAGCGGAACACCAGUGGCGAAGGCGAGUCCCUGGACAACUCCUGACACUGAGGCACGAAAGCUAGGGGAGCAAACAGG